rnacentral:misc_RNA from 1 species
CCAGGCUGAAANGCGAGUUGGAAAGUACGGCGAACGUGAAUACUCAAAUAUCGGCACCAGCUUAGUCGCUGGGUGUCGGUGAAAGUCCUUGACGAUGUCGGUUUGUCACCGAUGUCAAAGUUAUAG